rnacentral:rRNA from 1 species
AUUGAACGCUGGCGGCAUGCUUUACACAUGCAAGUCGAACGGCAGCGGGGGUGCUUGCACCUGCCGGCGAGUGGCGAACGGGUGAGUAAUACAUCGGAACGUAUCCUUAAGUGGGGAAUAACGCAUCGAAAGAUGUGCUAAUACCGCAUAGUCUUUUUACAAGUAAAGCAGGGGAUCGAAAGACCUUGCGCUUGAGGAGCGGCCGAUGUCUGAUUAGCUAGUUGGUGGGGUAAAGGCCUACCAAGGCGACGAUCAGUAGUUGGUCUGAGAGGACGACCAACCACACUGGGACUGAGACACGGCCCAGACUCCUACGGGAGGCAGCAGUGGGGAAUUUUGGACAAUGGGCGAAAGCCUGAUCCAGCCAUGCCGCGUGUGUGAAGAAGGCCUGAGGGUUGUAAAGCACUUUCAAUCGUGAAGAAAAGUUAGCAGGCUAAUACCCUGUGACCUUGACGUUAACGAUACAAGAAGCACGGCUAACUCCGUGCCAGCA